GGUCUCCUAGGGCAGCUCAGGGGUAGAGCACUUGGCUAGCAUGCCUGAGGUCCUGGGUUGGACACCCAGGACCAUGAAUAAAUAAACAAGUUAAUUAUUUUUAAAAUUAUAUUCAGAAGCUCAGAUAAAUAGACAUACUCAAACCAAGAUUUUAAAAGACAAGAGCCGGCCGGGCACAGUGGUGCAUGCAUGAAGUCCUAGCAACUUGGCAGGUCAAGGAAGGAUGGUCUCCGGCAAGUUCGGCACCAGCCAAAAUCAUCUUGCCGAGCCCUGCAUUAAGUAUCUUUUACUUUCCUGUGGCUGUGAUAAAACACCGUGAUCGGGACGACUUACAGAAGAGUUUGUUUGAGCUUACUGUUCAAGAGAGAUAAGAGUCCAUCGCGGCAGCAGGGCACAGCAGCAUGAAGCAGGCCGGGUGGGAAGGCAGGAAGCUGAGAGCUCGCAUCCUCAACAGCAAGCAUGAAGCAGAGAUGGCAAACUAAAGGAGAGCAGGCUUUUAACUCUCCAAAUCCCAGUGAUGUUCUUCCUCAUGUUCUUCCUCCAGCAAGGAAGCACGCCUACACCUCUCCAAACAGUACCACCACUGGGAACCAGGACCUACGGGGGACUUUCCCCUUACCGGGUUGUGGUUUUGCCAAUCUUGGAAGAAGUAGAUUCUAUAGGUCAAAAGAACUUUAAAACUCCAGGUGGAGUUAAAAACUUAAAAACUUAAAAACCAUGGGGCCUGGCAAUACCGGAAAACAUGUCUUCAUUUCAGCCUCACUUCAUUCAGCCUCAAGUCCACAAUGUUGACUUGAGGAAUCACUGUUGAAAUGACUGUGACCUCGAGGUCAGAGGAUGUUUUAAUAUUCUUCAACAUCAUCAGUUUAGCUGGUUCCCUGUGAAAUGGAUAAAGAGAUAAGGAACCUGAGGCCCAGAGAAGGAUGCUAUUUGAUGAGCUUAUAGAAGACUAAAUGAUGACCCCUUAAAAGACACUUCUCAUCAUUGGGCUGGCUAGACCAGAGCCUCCCUGCUCUUCCAGAGAAUUCGAGUUUUAAUUGCAUGGGCCUGGGUUUGAUUUUCAACAUCCACAAAGGGUGUGUCACAACCGCUUGUACAUCCAGUUCCAGGAGCUCUGUCACCCUCUUCUGGCCUCUGCAGGGAUUUGCAUGCAUGUGGUAAAUAUUCACCCAAACACACACAUACACAUAAACUAAAAAUGUUUUAAUAAAAAAGACUUCUAGCAGGCAUGGUAGUACAGGCCUUUGAUACCAGCACUUAGAGGGCAAGAACAGACAGACAUCUGUGUGUUUGAGGCCAGCCUGAUCUACAUAGCAAGUACCAGAACAAUCAGAGCUACAUAGUGAGACUC